UUCAGGGUGACCCAUCAGGAUCCCUAAAGGAAGUCCAAAGACUGCGCGUGUUCGGAGGAGCAGGGCAGAGGGGAAAUGACCAGACACCUUGAGACUGGAGAACUGUGAAUGGCCUGAAUUUGAACAGGAGUAACUCCUUCCCUGUGACUGAAUGUUAAAUAAAAGACCCGGCAGAAAGAGCCUUUCUGCUAGGGGCUUAUUUCAAAGGCAACAGAUAACGUACCCUGGCACUGGCUCCAAUUAUGGCUACCAGUCCUAUCUUAGCCUAGUUUACUUUGGGGAUUUCACAGUUGGCAGCCUUUCAUCUAGAAGUAGCCUGGUUUGAAUAAGCAAAGAAACUUGAAUGAGUACUUAACCUUCCUGCACUCCACCGCACUUCCCAGCAGAGAAGAACAGCACCUCCGAGCUUAAGGGGAAAAGGGAAAACAAUGGAAAAUGUAUACUCUCCAGGGAUUAAAGACGGCACAAGGAAACGGAGCCGCGUCAAAAGCCAUGCAGAUUAGUGGAAACACGACCCGUUCCCUCCCUGUGGGAUGCCGCAGAGCAGAGUUUCCUGACUACUCUCAGAUAUUCCCACGCUCGUUCAAAGGCAGCAGCCCUUGGACUCUUCCUCUGAACGUGGAGAUCAGCCACAUCUCUCCUCAGACCUCAGCUACCAGGCAGAGCAGUCAGUGGCAUGCAACUCCUGUUUAUAUUUAAAAUAAAUAUAUUCAUCCAUCAUUUGAAUGCACACAUAAUUAAUUCAUAUGCUCCUGCUGCUCUGCUUUGGCUAAUCCUCCCGACCCGGUAACUGACUCACUCUGCUACAAGUUCUCCUCAGCAAGAACGUGAGAGACCCACGCUUCCCAAGGAAAUGGAGCAAAAAUUCUCUUCUGUUUUAGAAAGCAAGUUUCUGCCUGGGGGUCUUCGUAGAAGGAUCCCCAAUAUGUGGCUCAACAGAGAUGAAAGGCUCCCAGAUUCAGUUUUAUG